rnacentral:lncRNA from 1 species
ACCCCACCUCCGGUUUAGACUUCCUUUGCAGGUCCCGACGGCGACCGUGACUUCUCCGACUCCAGCUUCUCCGAUGCAAGCAGAUUUUUGCACCAACAGGAUUGGCGCUAGAGGAAGGGCUUGAACCUUCGCAGUACCCUUGUUCUUAAAGGAGUGUUCAACGGAGCCGCCUCCGAUCGUCUCUCCGACAUCCACUCCUAAUUUUCCCUGGCGAGAUCCACGCUCGAUGCCUCCACGCAAGGCGUCCACACGACGGUCCACGGCCUCCGCGGCCAGAUCUCAAGCUCCGGCCUCCCCUCCUGUUUCCCAGCCUCCUCCUCCUCCUCCAGCGGUGGCGGUCGGCACGGAACAAUUUGACUUGCUGGCACAGCAGGUCAGAGGCCUCAUCGAAGCUGUGCAAGCAAUGCAGCAGCAGCAACCGCAGGCGUCGGCACACCCGGAAAGGGCAUCUCCGGAAUGUCAAAACCCGACGGUGGGGCGGGCCACCUGGGCCAGCCGCCCCGUCCUUCUCGGGAAAACAAAUUCGAGGGUAGAGAGCCCUCAAUCGGACCACGACUCCACCCCUGGA